CUUCUUGGUGAUGGAUUUGGUUCAACCCCAGAGAUGAGUAAAAGGAAUCUGAUAUGGGUGGUCACUCGUAUGCAGGUCCUGGUGGAUCGUUACCCAACAUGGGGUGAUGUCGUUCAAGUAGAUACUUGGGUGAGUGCAUCUGGAAAGAAUGGUAUGCGGCGUGAUUGGCUUGUACGUGACAGUAAAACUGGUGAAACUCUAACAAGAGCCUCCAGUGUGUGGGUGAUGAUGAAUAAACUGACAAGAAGGUUAUCUAAAAUUCCAGAAGAAGUUCGAGGGGAAAUAGAGCCUUACUUUUUGAAUUCUGAUCUUGUUGUAGAUGAGGAUAGCAGAAAAUUGCCAAAGCUUGAUGAAAACACUGCAGACUAUGUUCUCAAAGGUUUAACUCCUAGAUGGAGUGAUUUAGAUAUCAACCAGCAUGUUAACAAUGUCAAGUACAUUGGCUGGAUCCUUGAGAGUGC
rnacentral:misc_RNA from 1 species